GCGGAUGUGGCGGAAUUGGCAGACGCACUGGAUUUAGGUUCCANUAGGUUCCAGCGGGCAACCGUGGGGGUUCGAGUCCCUUCAUCCGCA
rnacentral:tRNA from 1 species